rnacentral:tRNA from 1 species
AUCUGGCUGGUUCAGUGGGUUGAGCAUGUGACUCUUGAUCUCGAGGUUGUGAGUUCAAGCCCCACGUUGGACA